UGGGAUGUGGCUCAGUGGUACAGUACUUGCCUAGCAUGCAUGAGGUCCUGGGUUCAAUUCCCAGUAUCACAA